rnacentral:rRNA from 1 species
UUGAUCCUGGCUCAGGACGAACGCUGGCGGCACGCUUAACACAUGCAAGUCGAACGAGAGAAGAGAAGCUUGCUUUUCUGAUCUAGUGGCGGACGGGUGAGUAACACGUGAGCAAUCUGCCUUUCAGAGGGGGAUACCGAUUGGAAACGAUCGUUAAUACCGCAUAACAUAAUUGAACCGCAUGAUUUGAUUAUCAAAGAUUUAUCGCUGAAAGAUGAGCUCGCGUCUGAUUAGCUAGUUGGUAAGGUAACGGCUUACCAAGGCGACGAUCAGUAGCCGGACUGAGAGGUUGAUCGGCCACAUUGGGACUGAGACACGGCCCAGACUCCUACGGGAGGCAGCAGUGGGGAAUAUUGCACAAUGGAGGAAACUCUGAUGCAGCGAUGCCGCGUGAGGGAAGAAGGUUUUAGGAUUGUAAACCUCUGUCUUCAGGGACGAAAAAAGACGGUACCUGAGGAGGAAGCUCCGGCUAACUACGUGCCAGCAGCCGCGGUAAUACGUAGGGAGCGAGCGUUGUCCGGAAUUACUGGGUGUAAAGGGAGCGUAGGCGGGAUCGCAAGUCAGAUGUGAAAACUAUGGGCUUAACCCAUAAACUGCAUUUGAAACUGUGGUUCUUGAGUGAAGUAGAGGUAAGCGGAAUUCCUAGUGUAGCGGUGAAAUGCGUAGAUAUUAGGAGGAACAUCAGUGGCGAAGGCGGCUUACUGGGCUUUAACUGACGCUGAGGCUCGAAAGCGUGGGGAGCAAACAGGAUUAGAUACCCUGGUAGUCCACGCCGUAAACGAUGAUUACUAGGUGUGGGGGGACUGACCCCUUCCGUGCCGCAGCAAACGCAAUAAGUAAUCCACCUGGGGAGUACGACCGCAAGGUUGAAACUCAAAGGAAUUGACGGGGGCCCGCACAAGCAGUGGAGUAUGUGGAUUAAUUCGAAGCAACGCGAAGAACCUUACCAGGUCUUGACAUCGUAUGCAUAGCUCAGAGAUGAGUGAAAUCUCUUCGGAGACAUAUAGACAGGUGGUGCAUGGUUGUCGUCAGCUCGUGUCGUGAGAUGUUGGGUUAAGUCCCGCAACGAGCGCAACCCUUACUGUUAGUUGCUACGCAAGAGCACUCUAGCAGGACUGCCGUUGACAAAACGGAGGAAGGUGGGGAUGACGUCAAAUCAUCAUGCCCCUUAUGACCUGGGCCUCACACGUACUACAAUGGCUGUUAACAGAGGGAUGCAAAGCCGCGAGGUGGAGCGAACCCCUAAAAGCAGUCUUAGUUCGGAUUGUAGGCUGCAACCCGCCUACAUGAAGUCGGAAUUGCUAAUGAUCGCAGAUCAGCAUGCUGCGGUGAAUACGUUCCCUUACGG